GACGUAGGGUGCGAGCGUUGUCCGGAAUUAUUGGGCGUAAAGAGCUCGUAGGCGGCUUGUUGCGUCGGCUGUGAAAACCCGCGGCUCAACCGUGGGCUUGCAGCCGAUACGGGCAGGCUAGAGUUCGGUAGGGGAGACUGGAAUUCCUGGUGUAGCGGUGAAAUGCGCAGAUAUCAGGAGGAACACCGGUGGCGAAGGCGGUUCUCUGGGCCUGUACUGACGCUGAGGAACGAAAGCGUGGGGAGCGAACAGG
rnacentral:rRNA from 1 species